rfam:Flavobacterium sp. AED Contig01, whole genome shotgun sequence.
GGGGGAUUAGCUCAUUUGGCUAGAGUGCUUGCCUGGCAGGCAAGAGGUGACCGGUUCGAAUCCGGUAUUCUCCA